GCGGAUGUGGUGUAAUUGGUAGCCACGCCAGAAUCAGGAUCUGGUGCCGCAAGGCAUGGGGGUUCGAGUCCCUUCAUCCGCA
rnacentral:tRNA from 3 species